AAAUACCACACUUACUUGGCUUAAUUUUAAUAUAUUUUAAUUUGGUGGGGGCGGGGGGCAAGAGAAGGAGGAUUUAUUCUUGCCUUCACCACCUUGUAUUAAAUGUCCACCGAUGGAAAAGGCAAAAGUGGUGGAGAUUCAAGGCUGCUAAUUCUGACCAUUGUGAUGCUAACGACGAACGCAGGAGUGACUGGCGCCCCACCAUUCAGUCCACCAGCCUUUGGCUUUACAAAUGAACAACAUGAAUUGAGGAAAAAAAAGUUUUUCUGCGUCAUAUCUGAAAGCCUGUCAGAUUUUUUUUUUCUUUUGCAGAGUUAAUCCAAACCUAAAAGAUUUAAAGCCGACAUUCGCAUUAAAGACAGAGAGUCUCUUUGUAUUUUUUGGAUGAAGAGGGAGGAAGAAUAAAAUCCCACAGAGGCAGGUCAGCUGGGAAAAGACGAAGGGAUCCUGAGACAAUGGUGGUAACAGGAGCAGCCUGUUCGGGGCUGGGCUCCGGUUCCCUCCGAGAGCAGUUUGCAAAUUGCUCCUAAUGUGGGAGACCGGUGCACCAGGCCAAGUGGCCCCCACUGCCCCUCCUCGAGGCCCUGUGAAACCAAAUGGAAUCUGCCACAAAAGUGGCUCCCGGGGGACUUGAGAAGGGAUCAGCCGAGGAAGCUGCAAAGCUGGUAACUGGAGGGCACAGGCCCUGUGUGGGGAACAAGCAAUCGCUUGUCUCUGCAGAGUGAGGCUGGCUCAAAAUUGAACCACUGGGGCUUCAAAAAUAAAGCAACGCUGCCUGAAAAUGCAACUUGCAACAGAGGAAUUGUUCUGAAAUUUCUGUGUAAAGUUUCAGAGAAUGAAUGUUUGAGAAAAUACGAGUUUAUGUGCAUUUGGCCAAGCCAAGGGGCAUGACGGGUACGAGUGGUUUACCUUCUGACCCACAUGGCAUGAUCUGUUAGCACCUAUGCUCCCACACCAGACUGAAACUCUUCUUCAUCUUCAAUGUGCCCAAGUUCAGACCCAUAGGGGAGAUAAUUCAAGUGUGCUACCUGCCUACAAACCUGUAACAACAUGGUUCUUCAGUCUACUUCUAUGUGCUUACACUGUCAGUAUCAGAGUGACAUGCUGUGACUUUUACUCAUGGAAAUGUAUAGACAGCUGAAACAGAAGGCCCUUUGGCAAACCCUAAGACUGUCUCCAUGGACCCCAGUUGAAGCAGGUCUGGAAGUGGUCCUGGCACUGCCCUUCCCAGCUAAUCAGACACUUGAGAAGUAACUUCUCAGUAUCGGUUUCCUCAGCCGUACAGUGGACUGUAAGAAUUAAACUCAAUAAUGUUGGUAAAGUGGCUGCAUAGCACUGAUUAUUAAUAAACUUUCUUCAUUUCAAUUGUCAAAUGUCA